UCCAACCUGUGCAUAGCCACUUUGGGCUUGGGCUCCGUUUCCGGAACCAACCUGUGAGCUCCAGAAGAAUAGUUCAGUCACAUGACCCAGGACAAAGCAAGAAACCCUUAGAAGGACUGCAGGAAGGGGCCAGUGUUUGCAGCCCUCCUGCCAUGGAGAAUGAGUGCUGCCCGGAGCAGACGGUUGGCACACAUUGGCGACGGAAGGAAGAAAAAACGUCCUUGUUCUGACUUUCGAGUCUGAGCAGCCUUCCUCCCUGGUUGAUGGGGCGCUAGUUGCAGAACGGCCCUGGAUCCAGCAGGGGGCGCGCCGCCGCCGCCUGAUUUGGAGCGCUUGCCUCGGGAAACCACACCCCCACAUCUCGGUCUCCCUUCUGGAACAGCCGGGGUGUAGAUUACCUUGUCUGCGCAAAGGGCCUCGGACUGUGAGAGGCCGUCGAGGUGGGCGCCCUGGCUUUCUUCUUACUCAAAGAGAACAUCGCUAUCUGCACAGGGGCAGAGGCACAGAGAGGCCCCCAGAAUCUGAGUCAUCUCUCCCAAGACUCUUGCUCCGCUCUCUGUUAAGUCCCACGGACAGCCAGUGGGAAGCCUCUCUAGAGCGCUGGCUGAGCCCACAUGCACCGUCCCUCCCAUGACCAUCUCGGGCGUUUGAACAUCUUGUGCCGUUGGGCCACAAACCCCAUUAGGUCGGAGACCACGGAUAUCCUCUGAUCUAUUACCAGCACCCAGCAUAGGACCUAACCCACAUACACAAUAAACAAACAAACAAACAAACAAACAAACGAAGAAGUCAUGUA